AACGAACGCUGGCGGCAUGCCUAACACAUGCAAGUCGAACGAAGGCUUCGGCCUUAGUGGCGCACGGGUGCGUAACGCGUGGGAAUCUGCCCCUCGGUUCGGAAUAACAGAUAGAAAUGACUGCUAAUACCGGACGAUGACUUCGGUCCAAAGAUUUAUCGCCGAGGGAUGAGCCCGCGUAAGAUUAGGUAGUUGGUGGGGUAAAGGCCUACCAAGUCGACGAUCUUUAGCUGGUCUGAGAGGAUGAUCAGCCACACUGGGACUGAGACACGGCCCAGACUCCUACGGGAGGCAGCAGUGGGGAAUAUUGGACAAUGGGCGAAAGCCUGAUCCAGCAAUGCCGCGUGAGUGAUGAAGGCCUUAGGGUUGUAAAGCUCUUUUACCUGGGAUGAUAAUGACAGUACCUGGAGAAUAAGCUCCGGCUAACUCCGUGCCAGCCGCCGCAGUAA
rnacentral:rRNA from 1 species